UCAGAGGGUUGGACGGCCGCGAGAUUUAUUUCGAGGAAAGUCCGGGCUCCAUUGAAGCAGGAUGCCGGGUAACGCCCGGCGGGUUCACCGUUUUGGUGGACUUAGGGAAAGUGCCACAGAAAAUAAACCGCCUUAUAUAUAAGGUAAGGGUGAAAAGGUGCGGUAAGAGCGCACCGCCGUAAUUGGUAACAAUGCGGGCAUGGUAAACCCCAUCCGGAGCAAGACCAAAUAGGGACGGCAUAUGGCGUGCUUUGACGCUGUUGUCCGGGUAGGUUGCUUGAGGUAGUGAGUAAUCACUGCUCUAGAGGAAUGGUCGUCGCCCGUAAGGGUACAAAACCCGGCUUAUAGGCCCUCUGACACU
rnacentral:RNase_P_RNA from 1 species